UCCAUACUGGGCGCGCGAAUUCCACUGAAAGACUGCUAGCACAUCUUCAAAGUUUAAAGUCAGCAUCAUGGCUUCUGCGGGCAAGAAAAAACGAAUAAGUAACGUAACGAACACACAACCUUCAAAUAAUGGAGCAGGUUCGUCCUCUGGUACCGUUGGAGAUGGCCAGGUGUCUGGAUUUGUCGAAGGAUCCAUAAUUCGCAUCACAAUGCAAAACUUCCUGACCUACGACCACUCCAUAGUUUACCCUGGACCAAACCUAAACAUGAUUGUGGGGGCCAAUGGAACUGGCAAGUCCAGUAUUGUCUGUGCCAUAUGUCUGGGUCUGGCAGGAAAGACUGCCAUCCUGGGCAGAGGGGACAAGGUUGGGCUGUAUGUGAAGCGUGGAUGCAACAAAGGAUCGGUUGAGAUUGAACUGCACAAGGCCAAGGGGAACCUGGUGAUCAAUAGAGAGAUCCAUGUGGAGAAUAACCAGUCGACGUGGAUGCUUAAUGGGAAACACACCAGCCAGAAGACUGUGGAGGAGGAGGUGAAGGCUCUACAGAUCCAAGUGAGCAACCUCUGCCAGUUUCUGCCACAGGAGAAGGUGGGUGAGUUUGCCAAGAUGACCAAGGUUGAGCUGCUUGAGGCCACAGAGAAGUCAGUGGGACCUCCAGAGAUGUAUGAGUUCCACUGCGAGCUCAAGACCUUCCGCACCAAAGAGAGGGAACUGGAGAAUGUGUGCAAGGAGAAGGCCAGCGCCCUGGAGAAGUUCAAGCAAAGGAACGAACGGAACAAGCACGACGUGGAGCGCUACUAUGAGAAGAAGAGACACCUGGACAACAUCAAGAUGCUGGAGAAGAAGAAACCCUGGGUGGAGUAUGAGACAGCCCGUAAGGAGCUGGAGGGGGUGAAGAAGUCAAGGGAGGACGCCAAGAAGCAGCUGAAAACCGUGAGGGAGUCCCAGGCCCCCAUGCUAAAGAAGAUCCAGCACAUCGACAGUCAGCUGAGGCCCAUCGAGAACCAGAUGAAGGACAAGACGGUCAGCAUCAGGGAGGCCUCUCAGAAGUGUAAACAGAAACAGGACCAGCUGGACCGGAAGCACAGAGAGAUUGAGGAUAUCAAGCAGGCCUUCAGCCUGAAGCAGACGGAGGCGGCGGACCGCCAGAAGCGAAUCAGCAACACCCGGCGCAUGAUUGACGACCUGAGGGCGGAGCUGGCCAACAUAGGCGACCAAUCAGACGUGACGCCGCAGAUCAAUGCGGUGAAUGCGGAGCUGAGGCGCAUCCAGGAAGAGAAAGCAAAGAUGGAGGGAGAAAAGGCCGACAUGCGUAGAGAGAAGGACAACUUGAACGGAGAGUGUAGACUGUUGAAGAACAGGCUGAGGAGUCUGGAUGACAUGAUGAAAAUCAAGGAGGAGAAGCUGAGAGGGCGCUCCAAGGACACCUACGCUGCCAUCCAGUGGCUGAGGCAGAACAAACACAUCUUCAGUGGCAAUGUCUAUGAACCUAUGAUGCUAGUGAUUAGUGUCCGCAACCCUCACCAUGCCAAGUACGUGGAGAACCACAUUCCAUUCAAUGACCUGCGAGCCUUUGUCUUCCAGAAGAGGGAAGACAUGGAGAAGUUUAUGAUGGAGGUGCGUGACAGCCAGAACCUGAGGGUGAAUUCAGUCUUCGCUCCUGAGGAAUCCUGCGCCACCCGGGCUCCCUCCCGACCCAUCGAGUCUCUGAAGCGUUUUGGGUUCUUUGCGUACCUGCGAGAGCUCUUUGAUGCUCCAGAAGAGGUUAUGAGCUACCUCUGCAACCAGUACAAGGUGCACGACGUUCCCGUGGGAACGGACCAAACCAAAGCCAUGAUCAAGACGGUGAUUGAGGAGCCCUACCUGAAGGUGCUUUACACAGCUGAGGAGAAGUACUCUCUGAAGAAGUCCUUUUACUCAGGCAAGACUAGCACCAGUAACUCUGCCGUGCGGCCCUCCCAGUACCUCACCAUGGCCGUGGACGCCGAGGAGAAACGGCAGCUGGAGGAGCAGAUCAGGACGGCUGAAAAGAGCAUGCAGGCCAUCGAUGUCCAGAUGAGCGCCAUGCAGGAACGUACUGCCAAGCUGGAUCACUGUGACAAUGAGCUACGGGCCCAGAAGAAGGGGCUCUCAGAGAUGAAGGGUAAAAAGAGACAGUUGGAACAGAAGAUCAGUACCAAGCAGGACAGUCUUCGGCAGAUGGAGCAGGGGGGCAUUGACCUACAGAAGGCUGAGGAGGAGACCAAGGCCCAGAUCUCAGCAGUCAACUCCCAGAAGGUGGCCAUUGUGGCUGAGUUCAUGGCCCACAUGAAGCUGAGGGCUAAGUUGAGUAUGGAGAAGGUUUACAUGGCUCUAGAGACCGUGGGCAUGACAGCAGAGAAGACCAAGCUGGAGACUGACUGCAGGGAGGGCUCGGCUGAGCUCAGGGUCCUAGAGCAAGCGUGUGCCAUGCUGGAGCAGCGCAAGGCCCGUCUGUUGGAGAUGUGUAAGGGCCUGAUGAGGAGGGCCAGGGAGAUCUGCAACAUGGACCCUGGGGAGAGUGCUGUACCCCCAGACCUACACACGGCCUUCAGCCAGCUGCCCGACACUAUGGAUGAGAUAGACGCCAUGUUGAAUGAGGAGAGGUCCAGGGCAGACUGCUUCACUGGCCUCAGUGAGAAUGUGGUGGAUGAGUACAACAGGAGAGAGCAGGAGAUCAAGAACCUGGAGAAAGAGCUGGAUGAGAAGAGCAAUGCCCUGAAAACCUACAGACAGAACAUAUCAGAGGCAAAGGAGCGCUGGCUGAAUCCUCUGAAGCAACUUGUAGAGCAGAUCAAUGAUAAGUUCAGUGAUUUCUUCCGCUCCAUGCAGUGUGCCGGGGAGGUGGACCUGCAUUCAGAGAACGAGGUAAGGCACGCCAAACACCUGGACUAAGGGGGAGGUGCCAGAGUGUCUUAGAUGUUUGUGGGAGCUCUAGUAGCAGUCACAUAGGGUUGUCACCAUACCAGUGUUAACUCGAAAUGACACAACAACAAGGUUCCAGUUUAACAACGUUUACUAAACCGAAUUAGCACACUACAUGGUUGCCAUUGCACUCAGGCCGGGUUCAUCAACAACGAGACCCUGCCGCACUAAUAACAGAGUGAUAGCCCCGUAGUAACAGAAAUAGGAUACUUAACAUGAACUUUAACAACCAGUAUCGUGAUACUCAGGGGUAUCGUGGCAAAGAAACAAAACAUGAAGUGGAUUGAAUUUCCUGAGGAAAACAGUCCUAAUGUUGGAAACAAACAGCCAUAUGUUGUCACCCAGAAUCACGUAUCUUUUCCAAGAUAUAGCACACAAUAUUUUACAUACAGUAGUUUAUUUUUUUUAAGGACUAAAUAGUUUAGUCUCCUUUCUUUCCCUUUUUGCCAAGGAAAAUCCAGUAUCAUGACAACCCUAAAAGUAGUAAGUCUGUCUGUCUGUCUUACUGGUGUCUGCUCCCUGCAGGAGGAGUAUGAUAAAUACGGGAUCCGUAUCCGGGUGAAAUUCCGUAGCAGCACGCAGCUCCAUGAGCUCACAGCACACCACCAGAGUGGAGGGGAGCGCAGUGUCUCCACAAUGCUCUACCUCAUGGCCCUGCAAGAGCUCAACCGCUGUCCCUUCCGAGUGGUGGACGAGAUCAACCAGGGUAUGGACCCAGUCAAUGAAAGGAGAGUCUUUGACAUUGUUGUACGGACAGCCUGCAAGGAGACAACCUCCCAGUACUUCUUCAUCACACCCAAG